UCAUAUUCAACCUUCUGAACUGACAUCAAACACAUCCUCUGAACUACCAGACUGAAUGGUGAUUUUGUAGGUAAACUAAUUUUAAGAAAAGUAGAUUAGUUGCAACAAAUAUUUUAGUCUUUCACCCAUAUUCUCUUGUUUUCUGCAACUAUUCCAAGAUAGGUCCCAUACUUUCCAUUGCAAUGCACAUCAAUUUCAUUUGGAAACAUACCAUGGUCCAAUUGUUUGUUUUCUUUACCAGUUUUGCAUGGCCAUUGUGUACAACCAUGUUAUCUGUUGCUUGAUGAAACAAGAAUAUGAUGUUUAUGAUUACAGACGAGUGAGUCAUAUCUCAUGAUGAGCCAUUUCGCCUUCCUUUAUGUAGUGUAAAUUUAACCAUUGACAUAUCACUCGGAGAAACAUUUUUAGCUGGGAGAAGGAAGAGAAGAAGGGUGCUUGAAUGGUAAAAAAAGUCGUCAAUGCAACCCGUUGCAACUCACAGGUGUUCUACUGAUGCAGAGGUACCUUUCCUUGCUUGGGAGUUAUAUGUGGUUCUGUUUGCUAAAUCUGUUUUAGGUUUAGACUGAUCUUGCAUGCUUAGCUUUUUAGUGUAUAACCAGUUUGUAGGUCCUACUAUUUGAUCACCGGAUGCAACGGAUGGGUGCCGGAUGGCGUCUUUGGCGUUUCGUUGAGGUACGACCAAACUACACUGCAGUUCGGUCUAGCCAAAGUUAUGCAUGCUGUUUAUCUCUACUUUGCGUGUGAAUGUCCCUGAAACAUGGUUUUGUUUGACUCUAGGUUCAGGACAAUAAACAUGAUAACUCAAUCACUGUUAUCAGAACAAGGUAUGCACACUGAUGGCGAUGAACCCAGUGAUGGCGAGCGCGGGGGGCACGAGCACCAGGCUGAACAGCACGACAAGAGGCAUCACAGUGCGACACCGACGAGGCUAUCUACCAGGACGAGGCCGGAGAGGCCCGGCAGCAUGCUGCCAAUACUAUUGUAUGAAUAUGAUCAAGUGGUGUGUUGUGGGUGCAGUUUGCCUGUAUCCUUUUUUUUUAUUUGUCAGGUUUCUGUCUUCCUGGCUGGAUUGUGUCACUUCCAUUUAAUCAAAAGAGUUUUAGUUGUUCUCCGAAGACACAUCUCACUCACUGUAAUUAGGAACUAACUGUUGUUUGCCUCAAACAUAUACAUGAUCUAUUGACUCCUACCAAAAUUUCAGAACUACCCAUGCAGAAAAAAA
rnacentral:lncRNA from 1 species